GGCGGUUCUCGGGUGACGCACCCUGGAAUCGGGCUCCCUCUUCUCUGGUUCUGGGUGCAUCACCUGAGAACCUCA
rfam:Myotis davidii contig79178, whole genome shotgun sequence.